CUCCCCCUCCCCCUAUACCCCAACCUCCUUCUGCCACAGCACAUCGACCAUCCGCGAGCAGCACAGCUCUCCUCCUUUCAAUGUCCUGCUCUUCUCGACGUGCCUGAUCUUCUUCUUCUUCUUCUUCUUCCUCCUUUUCUUCUUCUUCUUCUUCUUCUUCAUCUUCUUCUUCUUCUGAUUGAAACGAUCCACGUUGCAUAAUGGACGGAUGAAUCGCGUCAAUGGAAGAAUUUUUAACAGAAAUAUGAUUCAUUCGAUAAUAAACGAAUAGCUAAAA